rnacentral:lncRNA from 1 species
CAGUUUUAAAAUAAGCUGCAGUGGCAGAGCAGCAAGGGUUAUAUUCAAAGCUUGAGGUGGACACGAUGCACUUUAGCUCUGCAGCUAUGGUUUGCUCAGUUUAUCAUUGCGAACUCUUCUGGCUCAUCCUCUUCCCUCCUGUGUCUAUCUUUGGCCAAUCUGCUCUUCAGGUGAGAGGACCGAAAUUCAAGUCUAUGAAUUGUGCUUUUCUCCAGAAGCAGCACGCUGGGAAAAACACAUUGAAAUGGCAAGAAAGGGAGACUAGAAGAUAAACGUCUGCUCACCUUCCUAUUCAUGUGGCAACCUGAUGAAUUUGACUUAAGGGGGAUCAUUUCAGAUCAUCAGUCUUAUCAUCUUUGUAAGUACACAAUAUUUGGUUUGACUCCAGGUGCUGCAAAUCUGAUCAUUUCGAUGUGUUGAAAGGACUCUAAUGGGUCCCAGUAAGCACAGCUCAUGCUGCUGCUAGAAAAUUAACCUAGCAGUGGGAGCUGAGGUCCUCUAAGGCAGCCUUAGGCACCUCAGCAGGUGAUGCUGGACCCUGAGAGCUGAGGUCAGGGAGGAUCUGACCUGCUGAGUGCCUGGAUUAUUUUACAGGACCUUGAUAUGCCAAGUGUCUUUUAGAGAAAGAAUCUUUUUAUCUUUAGCAAAAGAGUUUGUCACAAAAAUAUUUUGAAAAUAAUGGGAAAAUAUUUUUAUUUUUGAAUUAAAGUUAUCCCUCAUUUAUAUCCACACUGGGGGAGUAUGUUAUCUGAGUAAAAUCCAUCAACUUCUAGGAUAUACCAAGUUCCCACGGCUGGGAUGUGUUAAACAUUGGGACCUUUGUUUUUGAUAUAGUGGAGACUUUUUAGGUUAGCUUGGAGAGAGGGGAUGAGAACCUUGCUUUUUACUCAAGAGAGUGUGUCAAGACUGUUAUGAUUUGUAUCAAAAUGGCAGCCAGUGGCAGAGUGCUUGCCUAGAUUGUGCGAGGCACUGGGUUUGAUCUUCAGAACCACAUAAAAGUAAACCAAAAACUAAGGCAUUCUUUCCAUCUACAACUACAGAUUUUUUUUUUUUUAAAGCUGUUGGCAACAGGUCCACCUUGGCCCCUGGAGCCCUACCUCCACUAGUUUGUUCUGCAUGCCAGUGUGGCCAGCUCACAAGGCCAUGGCGAACUUGCGGUUUUUCUGUUCCUGCUUAUCCGUCUGAGACAUAUGUAUCCCACGGGAAUGCCUUGACCUUUUCUGGUCUGAUGGACUUAUUGUUAAGGGAGGUUUUGGUACCUGACAAUAAUAGAUGUUGAAACUAAAUUUCUCCCCCCUCCCUCCUGCUUUUGGGUAGUUUUCCACUUCUGCUGCUUGGGGUAUAAAAAAAGGUGUGUUAGCAAUAAAGAUUAUUGACUCCUGGAUGAAGAACCUUGGUGUCCUGUGUGUCUUUUAACCUCGCC